GUGGCUUUGCUCCUUCCAGCUCACGCCUCCAUUCUCUUCAGGGUAUGGCCUCAUCCUUGUGAUCCAGUUAGCAUGCUUGUCUAGGCAGCAGUGGGAAAGAGAGAUGAAGGGAGGGAGGUGGUCUAACAUUGCCAGAAGCUGCCACACAACUGUUCCUCCUAUGCCCAGAACUUAGUCGUGGCCACACCUGGAUGCAGGAAAGCGGAGCAGUGUCCUUUUUAUUUGGGACAGUAUAUUAGUUUCCUAUUGCUGCAUAGCAAAUCACCACAAACUUAGCAGCUUGAAACAACACAAAUCUAUUAUCUUACAGUUCCAGAGGCCUGAAGUCUAAAGUGGGUCUCCCUGGGCUAAAAUCAAGGUGUCAAUAGGGCUGGUUCCUUCUGGAGGCUGUAGGGGAGAAUCUAUUGUCAUGCCUCUUCCAGCUUCUAGUGGUCUGCCCUUCUUAAGUCUUGGUCCCCUUCCAUCUUCAAAGCCAGCAAUGGCUGAGUGAGUCUUUUUCCCAAGUCCCUCUCUCUGGUUCUGCCUCUUGUCUGCCUCACUCUUCCCCAUUUAAGGGCCCUGUGAUUACACAAGGCACACCUGCAUAAUCCAGGCUAAUCUCAUUAAGAACAGUUUAUUAGCAUCCUUAAUUCAACCUGCAACCUCAAUUCUCCCUCCCCACGCUUUCCAUGAAACAUAACAGAUGCCUAGGUUCUGGGAAUUAGGAUGUGAACAUUUUUGGGUGGGGUGGCAGGGGAUUAUUCCACCUACCACUGGCAACUGUGGCAAAAAUUCUGUCACUGUAGAGAAAGCAAGGACAUCCCAGAUUCUCCAACCAAGCUAUGGUUUCAGAGACGGUGCCAAUCAGAAUUCUGGAUGAAGCAAUUGUUUCAAGAAACAGGCCUGUGGCCCAAGCCAGGUCAGUCAUGUCAUUCCUCGUAGCUGGGCUGGAAUUUUGAUACUCUUUUUUUCUAGGAUCACCAGUUCUGAGAAUAGUGAAAACAGAGACAUACCAGUGGCCAUCUUUGUCACCAUUCAGAAAAGUCCCCUGGUGUUGAACCCAGUGCAGAAGUGAGCAAGGAUCUAAAAUGGAAAGAAAGAGACCAAGGCUCGGGACAUCCAGCCAUGCCCACAGCCCAAGAUCCACCCCUGGGCUUUUCAAGCACAUGGGCCAAUACCUCUCCUCCGCUCUUGUGUUUUUCCUUAAACUAAUUUGAGUUUCUUUCACUUGCAGCCAAGUGCCCUCACUAAUACACUCAAGAAAUAUAUGUUGGGACAAGUCACAGCUUCCCAGAACCCUGGAGUGUCUCCUAAAUUCCAGAUAUAAAAUGCUAUCAUUCUAAAUCAAUGAUUAGGACUGUGAGUCCCUUCCAGCUUUUAUAUGCCCUAAUUAAUAUUCAAAUGUCCUUGACGUCACUUGGCCUAGCUCAGCCCAAAGGCAUACACAAUUUCUCCAAGUCCAUUAUUCCACAUGGGAAAUGCCUCAUGUAACCAGAGGCCCCACCUGACAAACUUGCCUUCUCUCUUCCUUAUGCAUCUGCUAGGAACACUAACAAAUACUCAUGGGUAACUGCAGGUCUCCAUGGCUCUCGUAGGACAUCCAUAUGGAAACAUGUGGCAGCAGGAAGAGGAGGACCCCAGAGGAAAGAAGAAACAGCUUGCUCUCUUUGAGUGGCAGCUGCAAAGGAAUGGAGCUAUUUCCUCUCUUCCUGAGCCUCAUCCCUAGUGCAGCAUUUCGUGUCCCAAGUCCCUCCCUAAAGUCCAGCUCUUGGCUCUGUUCCAAGUUGUUCCAAGUGAAAGUCACAUCUUGAAAAGCAGCCUGAAGCAGGAAUACUAACUUCCGGGAAUUCAGCCAUUAAGAAAGACAGUAAGGAGUAAUAAACGUUACCUACCGAUCUACUAUGCAGGGUAAUGUCAAAAUCAGAGCCCCCUAGCGCUGCCAGAAGGGGCUGUGGAACUGAAGAAUUUUCCAAAGCACUGAGAAGCCAUGUUACUUAUGUAAGUAUCCCAUUCCAGAAUCAUUCCCCUGUGGGUAGGGUCCCUGGCUCAUAAAAGCAGGUGUGCACGUCCCUCCACAGACUUAAACAUGUCCUGGUACCCUUCACAUUCUCCCAGGUGGAUGGGACCUUCUCUAUCAUGCACGGCUGGAGAGCCCUGAAGUUUCAUCUGGAUUCUGGUGGCUUAAAGGACACCAACAUCCUUUUAGGUCACUAAUUAAAUUAGAAAUUAAUCCUCAUGAUCUUUAUAUUUUGACUAAAAUUAAGUGUAAAAUCAUAGUAAUAACCACCAUUUAUGCAGUGCCUCCCAGGUACCAGGCACUUGACACCAUUACCUUCUCUAAACCCAACUACAACCUGCCAAGGAGGCCUUAUUAUCCCCAUUUUAUAAACCCAGAGAGGGUAAGUUAGUUGCCCAGGGUCUCACUUACAACAAGAAGGUAUGUGCUCAAAAAUAACUCAAUUCUAUGGAAUUAAUUAAAUUAAUAAAUGAAUUAAUUAAUUAAUUGAUAUUAAUUAGUAAAUUGAUUAAUAAAUUUUAUCUAGCAGGUAACUUAAAAUGAAUGCCUCAUUGUAAACAUAUGAUAAGGUACAGCAGCUCCGCAUUUAUUUACCUUCUAUAUGACUUUAUUCUGAGAAAACUCCCUUGAUGACAUGGAGUUGAAGACUACUGAGGUUGUGCAAAGACCCCAGCUCUUGGAGAGCAGGUUUUGGAUAUAAUUCUGGCUCUGCCACUAACUAGCUAUGCAAUUUUGGACAAAUCAGGUGCUACGGUUUGAAUGCUUGUGUCUCUUUCAAAAUUUAUAUUGAAACUUAAUUCCCAACGCAACAGUCUCAAGAGGUGAGGCCUUUCAGAGUGAUUAGGCCAGGAGGGCUCCACCUUUAUGAAUGAUGAGUGCCUUUAUAAAAGGACUUGAGGGAGCAAGUUUGUUCCUUCCGUCCCUUCCACCACUUGAGGAUGCAACAACAUGGUGCCAUCUUGGAAGCAGAGAGUGAGCCCUUACCAGACAUCAAAUCUGAUGGCACCUUGAUCUUGAACGUACCAAACUCCAGAACUGUGAGAAUUAAAUUUCUGUUCUUUAUAAAGUACCCAGUCUAAGGUAUUUUGUUAUAGCACCAUGAAGAGAGUAAGCAUCAAGUAAGCAAGCUGAGCUUCAAUCUUACGUUAAAAAUUGGAGCUACAAAUACCCACCUCUCUGGGUUUUUGUAAAGAUUUUAGAUAAUUGUUGUGAAAUACCUAGCAAUAAGCACACAGUGAGUACUCAAUUGCACGUUAUUAUGAGAACUGAGAUAAUGAUAAUUGUUUGACCUGGGACAAAGUAACGCGCUCCAUGUAUGGGCAGUUGGUAAAGGCAGAGAACCCACUGAAAGAAAGCCUGGGAGACAUACAGUUAGGGGACUGGAUGGCCAGCCCAGAGCAGAGGUUACCAGACAGUAAGAUUCAAGGGCAGGGAGGUGCAGACAGGAUCAGAGGCUGUGGGGGGAGAGGUGAGAGUCAA
rnacentral:lncRNA from 10 species